UCUUGGUCAUUUAGAGGAAGUAAAAGUCGUACAAGGUCUCCGUAGGUGAACCUGCGGAGGGAUCAUUACAGAGAAACUCCCCGCAAGGGUGACUCUCCAACCCUAUGUUAAUUAUACAUUUGUUGCUUGGCGAGCCGCUUCGGCCACCGGCUCACGCUGGUGAGUGCUCGCCAGAGACCCUAAACUCUGUUUAAUAAUGUCGUCUGAGUACUAUAUAAUAGUUAAACUUUCAACAACGGAUCUCUUGGUUCUGGCAUCGAUGAAGAACGCAGCGAAUGCGAUAAGUAAUGUGAAUUGCAGAAUUCAGUGAAUCAUCGAAUCUUUAACGCACAUUGCGCCCUGUGGUACUCCGCAGGGCAUGCCUGUUCGAGCGCAGUACAACACUCAAGCCUAGCUUGGUCUUGGGCCUCGCCGGAAACGGCGGACCUUAAAAUCAGUGGCGGCGCCUGUUAGGCCCUAAGCGUAGUAAUAUCCUCGCUACAGGGACCCGGCAGACGCUGGCCAGCAACCCCCAACUUUCAAGUUUGACCUCGGAUCAGGUAGGGAUACCCGCUGAACUUAAGCAUAUCAUAAGCGGAGGA
rnacentral:rRNA from 1 species